rnacentral:rRNA from 1 species
CCUACGGGUGGCAGCAGUGGGGGAUAUUGGACAAUGGGGGGAACCCUGAUCCAGCGACGCCGCGUGGGUGAAGAAGGUCUUCGGAUCGUAAAACCCUGUUGUUAGAGAAGAAAGUGCGUGAGAGUAACUGUUCACGUUUCGACGGUAUCUAACCAGAAAGCCACGGCUAACUACGUGACAGCAGCCGCGGUAAUGCGUAGGUGGCAAGCGUUAUCCGGAUUUAUUGGGCGUAAAGGGAACGCGGGCGGUCUUUUAAGUCUGAUGUGAAAGCUUGCGGCUUAACCGGAGUAGAGCAGUGGAAACUGGGAGACUUGAGUGCAGAAGAGGAAGGUGGAACUCGAUGUGUAGCGGUGAAAUGCGUAGAUAUAUGGAAGAACACCAGUGGCGAAAGCGGCACUCUGGUCUGUAACUGACGCUGAGGUACGAAAGCGUGGGUAGCAAACAGGAUUAGAUACCCUUGUAGUC